AUGUUGAAGCAGCGCCUGGCCUGGGAGAUACGUGCCCUGCAGAGCAGCAAGGAGCAGUUGCUCACUGAAGGUGGGAUGCUCCGUGCAGUUUUGGGGCUGAGGGGGCGGGGCCUAGCCCUCUGGGGCUCCUGGCCCCGCCCAUAACGCCCCGCCCACCCGCAGAGAAACUGGCGCGGGCCAAGCUAGAGGAGGUGGAGCGGCAGCUGAGCUUGCCACCCGAGGUCGGGGGCGCCCGGGCAGUGAACGAUGGGCUGAAGGCGGAGCUGGAGAAAUUCGGGGGACAGGGUCCUGCCCAAAUCCAUUGCAUCCCAAAGGACGAGGCCGGCAAAGUAGAGGCUGACCCCGAGCUCCCUGGCGCUAUCAGUGAGGACCUGGAGCCGCCCCCAGAGCAAUAGGACCCGCCCGGAGACCCCCGCCCCCACCCUCUUCGAGGCGGGCCGAGAAAUAAAGACGAGGAUUUCG
rnacentral:lncRNA from 1 species